rnacentral:tRNA from 1 species
GGACGCUUAGCUCAGCUGGUAGAGCACCUGCUUGACGUGCAGGUUGUCAGCGGUUCGAAUCCGUUAUCGUCCACCA